rnacentral:rRNA from 1 species
AGAACGAACGCUGGCGGCAUGCCUAACACAUGCAAGUCGAACGAGACCUUCGGGUCUAGUGGCGCACGGGUGCGUAACGCGUGGGAAUCUGCCCUUAGGUACGGAAUAACAGUGAGAAAUUACUGCUAAUACCGUAUGAUGUCUUCGGACCAAAGAUUUAUCGCCUAGGGAUGAGCCCGCGUAGGAUUAGCUAGUUGGUGGGGUAAAGGCCUACCAAGGCGACGAUCCUUAGCUGGUCUGAGAGGAUGAUCAGCCACACUGGGACUGAGACACGGCCCAGACUCCUACGGGAGGCAGCAGUGGGAAUUUGGACAAUGGGGGCAACCCUGAUCCAGCAAUGCCGCGUGAGUGAAGAAGGCCUUCGGGUUGUAAAGCUCUUUGUCCGGAAGAAACGGUUUUUCUAAUACAGAGAACUAAUGACGGUACCGGAAGAAUAAGCACCGGCUAACUACGUGCCAGCAGCCGC